CGUGCCUUCUAGCAGUUUCCACAUGUUCCUGGAAGAGCGCAGACGCGGGGCCGAAGGCAGGUGGCAGCGCGCGCAGCUAGACGGGGCGACAUUUCCAUGUGGACGAAAAACGCGGAAGAUUCUGCAGCCAACUCUCAAUCGUAGCCCAGGGACGGAGCCCAAGAGUCCCCCUAAUACCAUGGUCCACAGGGGGAGCGCGCUAGGCGGCCCCGGGGCCCCGGGAGUGCGCGCCCCCGGCCCCAGCCGAGCCCUGGAAGCCGCACCUGGACUCCGGGUCAGGACCUUGACUUUCGUCUGUGCGCUGUGGGUGAGUUCCGGCUUCGGUUCUCGGAGGACACGUGC
rnacentral:lncRNA from 1 species